rnacentral:rRNA from 1 species
UACGUAGGUGGCAAGCGCUGUCCGGAUUUACUGGGCGUAAAGAGCGCGCAGGCGGUCGGAUAAGUCGAAUGUGAAAGCCCCCGGCUCAACUGGGGAGGGUCACUCGAUACUGAUCGACUUGAAGGCAGGAGAGGGAAGCGGAAUUCCCGGUGUAGUGGUGAAAUGCGUAGAUAUCUGGAGGAACACCGGUGGCGAAGGCGGCAUCCUGGACCAACACUGACACUGAAAAGCGAAAGCCAGGGGAGCAAACGGG